AGGUAACAUUUCACAUGUGUUAUCAGAGCUCAUUGCUGGGGAAAUUAACACAUCCUGUAUGAUUCUACUGGGGAGAAGUCUUGGGAGCUUGCCUGGUUUUCUCUGGAUUUUGCCCAUUGUGCCUUUUCCCUUUGCUAAUUUUCCUUUUUAUUCUUUGGCUUUAAUAAAUCAUAGCGACGACUGUGGCCAUCUGCUGAGUCCUGUGAGUCCUCCUAGCAAAUCAUCAAACCUGGAGUGAUCCUGAGGAACCCAACACACCCACAUUGAAAAAUAUUCUAAGUGAUUGUCCUAUAAUCUUUAAAGAAUGUUGAGGUCAUGAAAAAUAGUCAUAACAGCUGUGAACAAUGUUGAGAUCUUGAACUGCAUUCUUUUCUGUAAAGGAUGUUUCUGGGACAGUUGGCCAAACUUGAAUGGCAUCUCUAGAUGAUGGGUCCAUGAAAGUUCUUUAUGCCAACCUUGCAAGUUUUUGAGACAAGGUGCUGUGUGGCCCAGACCGGUCUUGUACUCCUGAACUCAAGCAAUCCACCCACCUCGGCCUCCCAAAGUGCUGGGAUUACAGGCAUGAACCAUC
rnacentral:lncRNA from 10 species